GCUGAAAGAAAAACUAUACAUUAUACAUGAAGAGAGUGGUGGACUUACAGAUGAGCAGAUUACAGCACUAAGAAGAUACAUGCCAACACCAAAAGACGCAGAAAAGUACCAGUCAUUCAAGGGGUCUCCUUCAGAGCUGCAUGUGGUUGAUCAGUUUAUGUUAGAGAUGUGUAAAAUCCCUUACUUAGGCCAGAGGUUGGAUCUCCUGCUUACCAUACGUGAGCUCCCUGUGAGCAUGAGAGAUUUGGAG